UCCGGUUUGUCACCGGCAGUCUCAUUAGAGUGCCCAACUGAAUGCUGGCAACUAAGAUCAAGGGUUGCGCUCGUUGCGGGACUUAACCCAACAUCUCACGACACGAGCUGACGACAACCAUGCACCACCUGUCACUUUUGUCCCCGAAGGGAAAUCCCUAUCUCUAGGGAGGUCAAAAGGAUGUCAAGACCUGGUAAGGUUCUUCGCGUUGCUUCGAAUUAAACCACAUGCUCCACCGCUUGUGCGGGUCCCCGUCAAUUCCUUUGAGUUUUAAUCUUGCGACCGUACUCCCCAGGCGGAGUGCUUAAUGCGUUAGCUGCGUCACCGACAUGCAUGCAUGCCGACAACUAGCACUCAUCGUUUACAGCGUGGACUAC
rnacentral:misc_RNA from 1 species